AGUAUUUUCCUGUAAAUUUCCCGUAUUAUAUUCAAAAUUAAAAAACUUUAUUAUUGAGGAGACAGGGCACUGACCGCUCUGUGUCUCUUAACCAAUCGUGGUGCCGGUUCAAGGAGGAAGUCCCGCCUUUCAGAAGGAACAGCCAAUCAGCUUGCUGGUUUUGCGGAGCGCAAAUGAGGGUCAGUGUGGGGAAGACGCCCCGCCCCGCCCCCAAAUAUCUAGAAAAGGGUUUUUAAUUUGAUUGUAUUAAAAUAAUUACAUAUGUAGGAAUGUCCACAACAUUUCAGUGUCAACAAAGGUAAAGGUGAAGGUGUGGGCGAGUGCUGAGGGAACCCACCUGAAGGGAGGUGUUAAGCCCCGCCCCUGGGAGGGCAGGUGUGUGCUGUAUAUUUAUAUAUAUAAAUAUGUAAAGUCGGUGUUGCCAGUGCGGUCCACACUGCUCAGCUUGACAUGUCCCACACUUUUUGCUCUGCUUCUCAGCUUGGUUAGCCGUGUUAGCUUUGUUAGCUUUGCUAGUUUUGUUAGCUUUGUCAGGUUUAGCAGGUUUGUUGGAUUACGCUCUCUGUAAGAAUGAAGCCGUGUCUUUCGGUGAGUGUUCCCAAAAGUCUGAGGACAAAUUCUUCCGUAGAAUUUCUGUAUUCAGUACAAUUACUGUUAAAAAUCCUUCUUUUUGUGUUUUUCUAUGUAAAGGUCUCUCUGGUGCUGAUGAGGUUCCUAUACCAGCACAGCGUAUCAGCAUGUCCAAAUGGAUAUCAUAUCAAUGGGAAUACUAAAUGCUGUCUGUGUCAGAAUGAGUGGUUUUUAGUGAACUGCUCGAUGGCUUCCACACAGUGUUUGCCCUGCACAAAUUGCGAACAACGUGGCCAAAAGACUGUUACACAGUGCACAAAAUUCUCGGACGCCGUGUGUGAGACUGAACCGUCUCCCACACCAGUGACUCUAGCCCAGCCUGAGUGGACUGUGAUCGCUCUGUAUGUCACAGCUUCUGUAGUUCUGCUGCUCAUCAUCUCGGCCACUGCCUGCAAGCUGUACCUGAACCACAAAGCUCCACUGGAUCCUGCAAAAAAACCGCUGAAGACUCCGUCAUUAACAGAGUCCAUGGCAUAGGCAUAGUGUUUUGGAAACUGCCUCAGAAAACUAAACACAUACCAGGCCGAGUCCAGGCACGUCUGAUCCGGGGCUGGUCACCGGUAGUGUUUACCUGCUUUACUGGAAACACCUGAGCAGCUCUUAUCCAGCUCUUAUCUCUUAUCUAGACAGGCACAGUUCUGCGUCAGAACCUUCACUGCAAAAUCAGAUUCAUCAGUUCAACCUAAUAUAAACUGUUCUUAUGGAAACAAACAAAUAACACAAACUAUUUUUAUUUAAAACUUAAAAAAAAAAAGUUUAUUUAAGUUUAUUUUAAAACUCGAAACCCCAAACCAGUUCAGCUGUUUUUAUUGAAUAACUAAAUGUUUUUUUAAUGUAUAACUUACAAAAGAAUAUAUGUUUAUACAAAAAUCAUAUGAUGCAUUACUGAUCUGGUUGGUUCAAAUUGUUGAUUUAAGUGCGUCACUAGAGGAGUACAGUAUGACCCAAUAUGACAAUAUACUGACCCAGAAAUAAUUGUAAAAACAAUAUUAUUGUCAUUUUAAGACCCAUUUUUAUCCCACUAAAAUUAUAAUAAUAUUAUAAUUAAAUUACACCCUUAAUCAUGAUUAACGGAAUUUGGAUUAUUACGAAUAUUUAAAAAAUACACAAAAAGACAUACAAAAUAAAUACACUAAAUUAAUCA
rnacentral:lncRNA from 1 species